ACGCUGGCGGCAUGCUUAACACAUGCAGGUCGAGCAAAACAAUUAAUAAGAUUCUUCGGAGGAUCCUUAGCUGACUGAGCGGCGGACGGGUGAGUAACGCGUGGGUGACCUGCCCCGUACCGGGGGAUAACAGCUGGAAACGGCUGCUAGUACCGCAUAGUCGCACAGAGCUGCAUGGGUCGAUGAGAAAAACUCCGGUGGUAUGGGAUGGGCCCGCGUCUGAUUAGGCAGUUGGCGGGGAAGCGGCCCACCACACCGAGAAUCAGUAGCCGGCGUGAGAGGGCGACCGGCCACAUUGGGACUGAGACACGGCCCAAACUCCUCCGGGGAGGCAGCAGUGGGGAAUAUUGCACAAUGGGGGAAACCCUGAUGCAGCGGACGCGGCGUGAAAAAAGAAGUAUUUUGGUAUGUAAAGCUCUUUCAGCAGGGAAGAUAAUGUCGGUACCUGUCUAAGAAGCCCCGGCUAAUUACGUGCCAGCAGCCGCGGUAAUACGUAGGGGGCAAGCGUUAUCCGGAUUUACUGGGUGUAAAGGGAGCGUAGACGGCAAGGCAAGUCUGAUGUGAAAACCCAGGGCUUAACCCUGGGACUGCAUUGGAAACUGUCUGGCUCGAGUGCCGGAGAGGUAAGCGGUG
rnacentral:rRNA from 1 species